GGGUUGGGGUUAGAGGUUGGGGUAGGGUUAGGGGUUUCCGGUAGGGUUAGGGUAGGGUUAGUGGUUGGGGUAGGGUAACCCUUCUCCUAACCCUCACCCUACUCCUAACCCUAACCCUGCUCCUAACUCACCCCUACCCCUUACCCUACCCCUACCCUAUUCCUACCCAUACCCCUAACCCUACCCCUACCCCUACCCUAACCCUACCCGUGCCCUUAACCCUACCCUUAACCC